AUUGAACGCUGGCGGCAGGCCUAACACAUGCAAGUCGAGCGGGGUUUUCGGACCUAGCGGCGGACGGGUGAGUAAUGCGUAGGAAGCUACCCGAUAGAGGGGGAUACCAGUUGGAAACGACUGUUAAUACCGCAUAAUGUCUACGGACCAAAGUGUGGGACCUUGGGGCCACAUGCUAUCGGAUGCGCCUACGUGGGAUUAGCUAGUUGGUGAGGUAAUGGCUCACCAAGGCGACGAUCCCUAGCUGGUUUGAGAGGAUGAUCAGCCACACUGGAACUGAGACACGGUCCAGACUCCUACGGGAGGCAGCAGUGGGGAAUAUUGGACAAUGGGCGCAAGCCUGAUCCAGCCAUGCCGCGUGUGCGAAGAAGGCCUUCGGGUUGUAAAGCACUUUCAGCGAGGAGGAAGGGGUGAGUGUUAAUAGUACUCAUCUUUGACGUUACUCGCAGAAGAAGCACCGGCUAACUCUGUGCCAGCCGCCGCUGUAAUAC
rnacentral:rRNA from 1 species